GUAGGGAAUAUUGCGCAAUGGACGAAAGUCUGACGCAGCAACGCCGCGUGGGUGAUGAAGCAUUUCGGUGUGUAAAACCCUGUCAGUGGGGAAGAACCGUGCGAGGAGUCACUGCCUUGCACCUGACGGUACCCACAGAGGAAGUCCCGGCUAACUCCGUGCCAGCAGCCGCGGUAAUACGGGGGGGACAAGCGUUGUUCGGAUUUACUGGGCGUAAAGGGCGCGUAGGCGGACCGACAAGUCGGGUGUGAAACCUGCCAGCUUAACUGGCAGCCUGCAUUUGAUACUGUCGGCCUUGAGUACAGGAGAGGAGAAUGGAAUUCCAGGUGUAGCGGUGAAAUGCGUAGAUAUCUGGAAGAACACCGGUAGCGAAGGCGGUUCUCUGGACUGAUACUGACGCUUAAGCGCGAAGGCUUGGGGAGCAAACAGGAUUAGAAACCCCUGUAGUCC
rnacentral:rRNA from 1 species